rnacentral:rRNA from 1 species
GACGAACGCUGGCGGCGUGCUUAACACAUGCAAGUCGAACGGAAAGGCCCUGCUUUUGUGGGGUGCUCGAGUGGCGAACGGGUGAGUAACACGUGAGUAACCUGCCCUUGACUUUGGGAUAACUUCAGGAAACUGGGGCUAAUACCGGAUAGGAGCUCCUGCUGCAUGGUGGGGGUUGGAAAGUUUCGGCGGUUGGGGAUGGACUCGCGGCUUAUCAGCUUGUUGGUGGGGUAGUGGCUUACCAAGGCUUUGACGGGUAGCCGGCCUGAGAGGGUGACCGGCCACAUUGGGACUGAGAUACGGCCCAGACUCCCACGGGAGGCAGCAGUGGGGAAUAUUGCACAAUGGGCGGAAGCCUGAUGCAGCAACGCCGCGUGCGGGAUGACGGCCUUCGGGUUGUAAACCGCUUUCGCCUGUGACGAAGCGUGAGUGACGGUAAUGGGUAAAGAAGCACCGGCUAACUACGUGCCAGCAGCCGCGGUGAUACGUAGGGUGCGAGCGUUGUCCGGAUUUAUUGGGCGUAAAGGGCUCGUAGGUGGUUGAUCGCGUCGGAAGUGUAAUCUUGGGGCUCAACCCUGAGCGUGCUUUCGAUACGGGUUGACUUGAGGAAGGUAGGGGAGAAUGGAAUUCCUGGUGGAGCGGUGGAAUGCGCAGAUAUCAGGAGGAACACCAGUGGCGAAGGCGGUUCUCUGGGCCUUUCCUGACGCUGAGGAGCGAAAGCGUGGGGAGCGAACAGGCUUAGAUACCCUGGUAGUCCACGCUGUAAACGGUGGGUACUAGGUGUGGGGUCCAUUCCACGGGUUCCGUGCCGUAGCUAACGCUUUAAGUACCCCGCCUGGGGAGUACGGCCGCAAGGCUAAAACUCAAAGGAAUUGACGGGGCCCCGCACAAGCGGCGGAGCAUGCGGAUUAAUUCGAUGCAACGCGUAGAACCUUACCUGGGUUUGACAUGGAUCGGGAGUGCUCAGAGAUGGGUGUGCCUCUUUUGGGGUCGGUUCACAGGUGGUGCAUGGCUGUCGUCAGCUCGUGUCGUGAGAUGUUGGGUUAAGUCCCGCAACGAGCGCAACCCUUGUUCACUGUUGCCAGCACGUUAUGGUGGGGACUCAGUGGAGACCGCCGGGGUCAACUCGGAGGAAGGUGGGGAUGACGUCAAGUCAUCAUGCCCCUUAUGUCCAGGGCUUCACGCAUGCUACAAUGGCUGGUACAGAGAGUGGCGAGCCUGUGAGGGUGAGCGAAUCUCGGAAAGCCGGUCUCAGUUCGGAUUGGGGUCUGCAACUCGACCUCAUGAAGUCGGAGUCGCUAGUAAUCGCAGAUCAGCAACGCUGCGGUGAAUACGUUCCCGGG